rnacentral:lncRNA from 1 species
GAAAGGGUAAGAGCUGAGGGUGGCUGAGACUCGGGGUUGUUCAGGGCGGGGUGGGCUCUGGACCCAGGAGGCCUGGCACCCAGGUCAGGGCUCCAGGGGAGGCCAGAUGGGCGAAGGCCAAGAAGGGGCCGGGGCUGGUCAGGAAGGGCUCCUGGUGACCAGAGCACUUUGCGUGAGCCAGCGUGGGAGGAAGGUGGGCUGGAUGAGCCAGGGAGGUGCCAGGAGGGGCCUUGGCAGAGGCGACCACCUCCGUCAGCCCCCAGGCCACUGAACCCUGGGUAGCGAGAACCGACAGGGGAGGCUGCAGACAGAGGAGUGGAGGCUCCCCUGCUUUGGGGGCUCUGAGUAGAAGCAUCUAGGGGGUCCCUCAAGAGGCCCCCAAACGCUUCCCCCGGUGAGAAAAGAAGGCGCAGAGAGGGGCACGGCGCCGGCGCCGGCUCAGGCUCAGAGGGGCGCACAGCAAGAUUUGCUGUGAUUUCUUUUAUUGCCCCAAGCGUACCUCACCUUGAGGAGCUCUACGGUGACUUUGAAGACUUGGAAACAGGGGACAUGCACAAGGGAAAAUCGGGCCCCGACACUCAGAAUGAAGAUAUAGAGAAACAAGGAAGAAAUUGACCCCGACGAAGAAGAAAGUGCCAAGAAAAAGCAUUUGGAUAAGAAGAGAAAAUUGAAGGAGAUGUUUGAUGCGGAAUAUGAUGAAGGAGAAAGCACAUAUUUUGAUGAUCUUAAAGGAGAAAUGCAGAAAGAAGCACAGCUGAAUCACGUAGAAUUUGAAGAUCAAGAUGAUGAAGCCAGAGUUCAGUAUGAUGGUUUUCGACCUGGGAUGUACGUCCGCGUUGAGAUUGAAAAUGUUCCCUGUGAAUUUGUGCAGAACUUUGACCCCCAUUACCCCAUUAUCCUGGGUGGCUUGGGCAACAGCGAGGGAAAUGUUGGACACGUGCAGAUGCGUCUGAAGAAACAUCGCUGGUAUAAGAAAAUCCUCAAGUCCCAAGAUCCAAUCAUAUUUUCUGUAGGGUGGAGGAGGUUUCAGACCAUCCUGCUCUAUUAUAUUGAAGACCACAAUGGAAGACAAAGGCUUCUAAAGUAUACCCCACAGCACAUGCAUUGUGGAGCAGCCUUUUGGGGUAAAAUAUGAUUACAAUAACUUGCCUAUUGCCGAGAUUAAACUUUACAGGCUGCGUUAUUUUAGCUUUGUGCUUUUCCUUUCAUAAAAUUCCACUCCUAAGAUGUUUCUGUUUUCUGGGAGCGGGGAGGUGGUUUGGAGUAUAUAUGUAAAUCUAUAUCCAAAUCUAAAUGUCCGUAUCCAGUAUGUUAAACUAGAAUCUAAAAUUUCUGGUUUGCUAUAUUUCUUUUUUUCCUUUUCCUUUAAGACCCUAUCACUCCACAGGGAACUGGUUUCUUGGCAAUACAGUCUGUCAGUGGCAUAAUGGUAACUAUCUUGGACAAUUUCUUUUACAGAUUGGUUUGAGAAAUAUAUCCUGAAUGUGGGUUAUUAUGUACAUGAGACUUUAAGUUGAAAAUUACUCAUUUUUAUUAUUAUAAAGUAAAUUUCCCUUUGCUUUUAA